CACCUUCCCCCAGUCUUUCCUUCCUCCUUCCUCCCUGAGAAAGUCUUCGGUCUUCUUCCUAGGAUCUCCCCUCUCUGGGGAAUGUGCUGGCACCUGGAAGAGAUGGUUUCCUAGGGUUAAGAGCAUCAGGAGACGAUGGGAGUGGGGGCGGGAUGUCUCUUUUCUGCCUUUACACAGAGGGUAGCCCACAUCCACAGAGCCAACUCAUCCUCUUGCCCCUAUGACAUGUCCCAGCCUGGGCUGAGGUUUUACUUCCAGAGGCCCUGCCCUCCAGGAAUCUGAUGUCUGUGCAGCCACCUCAGUCUGCUCCCACAGGAAGGUACCAUCACUUGCAACCAGAAGCCAUGCCCAAGAGGACCCUGCCCUGAGCCAGGAGCAUGCUGCCCGCACUGUAAGCCAGGCUGUGAUUAUGAGGGGCAGCUUUAUGAGGAGGGGGUCACCUUCCUGUCCAGCUCCAACCCUUGUCUACAGUGCACCUGCCUGAGGAGCCGAGUUCGCUGCAUGGCCCUGAAGUGCCCGCCUAGCCCCUGCCCAGAGCCAGUGCUGAGGCCUGGGCACUGCUGCCCAACCUGCCAAGGCUGCACAGAAGGUGGCUCUCACUGGGAACAUGGCCAAGAGUGGACAACACCUGGGGACCCCUGCCGAAUCUGCCGGUGCCUGGAGGGUCACAUCCAGUGCCGCCAGCGAGAAUGUGCCAGCCUGUGUCCAUACCCAGCCCGGCCCCUCCCAGGCACCUGCUGCCCUGUGUGUGAUGGCUGUUUCCUAAACGGGCGGGAGCACCGCAGCGGGGAGCCUGUGGGCUCAGGGGACCCCUGCUCGCACUGCCGCUGUGCUAAUGGGAGUGUCCAGUGUGAGCCUCUGCCCUGCCCGCCAGUGCCCUGCAGACACCCAGGCAAGAUCCCUGGGCAGUGCUGCCCUGUCUGCGAU
rnacentral:lncRNA from 1 species